rnacentral:rRNA from 1 species
AUUGAACGCUAGCGGGAUGCCUUACACAUGCAAGUCGAACGAGUGGCGGACGGGUGAGUAAUGUAUCGGAACGUGCCCAGUGGCGGGGGAUAACUACUCGAAAGGGUGGCUAAUACCGCAUACCAUCGGAGCGGCCGAGAUCGGAUUAGCUAGUUGGUGGGGUAAAGGCUCACCAAGGCGACGAUCCGUAGCUGGUCUGAGAGGACGACCAGCCACACUGGGACUGAGAAACGGUCCAGACUCCUACGGGAGGCAGCAGUGGGGAAUAUUGGACAAUGGGGGAAACCCUGAUCCAGCCAUGCCGCGUGUAUGAGAAGGCCUUCGGGUUGUAAAGUACUUUCAGCGGAGAAGCGUUACCUGCAGAAUAAGCACCGGCUAACUACGUGCCAGCAGCCGCGGUAAUUC